rnacentral:rRNA from 1 species
GUCUUUUUGGUUAUUUAAUAUAAAGUCUGACCUGCCCACUGAAUUUAUUUUGAAGGGCCGCAGUAUUUUGACUGUGCAAAGGUAGCAUAAUCAUUAGUCUUUUAAUUGAAGGCUGGUAUGAAUGGUUGGAUGAGGUACAAGCUGUGUCAUAAAAAUUAACAAUUGAAUUUACCUUUUUAGUCAAAAGGCUAAAAUGAAAUUAAAAGACGAGAAGACCCUAUAGAGCUUUAUAUAAUUUAUAUUUAAAUUAUUAAGAUUUUUUAAAUUUAAUUAUUAUUUUAUAUUUUGUUGGGGUGACAAUAAAAUUUAUAAAACUUUUAUUUUUAAUUUACAUUUAUUUAUGGUUAUAUGAUCCAGUUUUAUUGAUUAUAAAUUUAAGUUACCUUAGGGAUAACAGCGUAAUUUUUUUUGAGAGUUCUUAUCGACAAAAAAGAUUGCGACCUCGAUGUUGGAUUAAGAGUAAUUUUGGGUGUAGAAGUUCAAAGUUUAAGUCUGUUCGACUUUUAAAUUCUUACAU